GGAUUGAUUUGUCUGGUUAAUUCCGAUAACGAACGAGACUCAAUUAUUUAACUAGAUACCUAUCAGCCGUUGAGAUGCUGAAGUUGUAUAUGCUUUCGGCAGUUGCUUUAUUGUGAUUGUUGACACAUGUAUAAUGGAGUCUCACCUGAUAGUUUGGUACCCAAUUUCGGUUGGUGUGCUUUAUCUGCUUAAAUAGACAAAUUGCUUCCAGCAAUAUGAAAUUGAGCAAUAACAGGUCCGUGAUGCCCUUAGAUGUUCUGGGCGGCACGCGAGUUACAAUGAAGCUGACAACGUGUUACCUUAUCCGAGAGGAUUGGGAAAUCACUUAGCCAGCUUACUAGUUGGGAUUGUGGACUGAAAAAGUUCACAUGAACCAGGAACUCCUAGUAAGUGUGAGUCACUAGCUUGCAUUGAUUACGACCCUGAUCUUUGUACACACCGCCCGUCGCUAUUACCGACGAAUUAUUUAGUGAGAUCUCUGGAGGUGAGCGUUGCGAUGUUUCGGCAUUGCGAUUGUUUUUGCCAAAGUUGAUCAAACUUG
rnacentral:rRNA from 1 species